GAUAGUGAUGAAAGUGACGGUGGUGAUGAAGAGAAUGAACACGAGACCAACGGAGAUGAAGAACCCGCGACUGGGAAGAUUUCAUCCACAGACGAUAUGACAUCAUGAUGGGCGAAGCUCUCACUGGAAGACAUCAUGGACGACACGGCCACCUUGAAGAAGAUCAUGAUCGCUGAUCCUGGAGUCAAAGAAGAAAAUUAUUGCAAUUUCAUAUUUAACUCGCAUGUAAAUACAGACUGUAAGAAAUAAUUCAUACUCACCUCAUAAAUAUGAUGAAAAAAAAAAUAACCACAUGGAAAUAACUAAAAUGUCAAGUGUAAAUAAACUACAAUCUUACAAGAUGUUUUAAAAGAUAUUACAGAUUACAAUGAAUAAACUGAAAUUAUUAUUUCAUA